GACGAACGCUGGCGGCGCGCCUAACACAUGCAAGUCGAACGGAGCUGAGAGAAGCUUGCUUUUCUUAGCUUAGUGGCGAACGGGUGAGUAACGCGUGAGUAACCUGCCCUGGAGUGGGGACAACAGUUGGAAACGACUGCUAAUACCGCAUAAGCCCACGAUCCGGCAACGGGUUGAGGGAAAAGGAUUUAUUUGCUUCAGGAUGGACUCGCGUCCAAUUAGGUAGUUGGUGAGGUAACGGGCCACCCAGGCGACGCUUGGUAGGCGGACUGAGAGGGUGAACCGCCAACUUUGGAAUGGGGCACCGCCCCGACUCCUAAGGGAGGCAGCAGUGGGGGAUAUUGCACAAUGGGGGGAAACCUGAUGCAGCGACGCCGCGUGGAGGAAGAAGGUUUUCGGAUUGUAAAAUCCUGUCGUUAGGGACGAUAAUGACGGUACCUAACAAGAAAGCACCGGCUAACUACGUG
rnacentral:rRNA from 1 species